GGUUUUAUCUGGAGGAGGAGCAGAUAGAAGAACCGGCCCUUCUUUCCUUCGCGGUCUCUGGUCCGGUACCACCGCGGCGACCUCAAGGACCUCGGUGCGAGCGGCCGGACAUGGUCGCCCCCGAACCCGUGGUCGAGCGGGAGCGGGAGCAGGUCCAUAAAAUGAUAUUGACGAUCUGCUCACGCUCAGUAUAUAAGGUCUCUGGCGGUACACCACACGCACGCCAUCUUGAAGUGGUCGCUCGGGUAGCCACACUCCGGGUGAAGUUGACAUUUUCCACGGGUUGUGAUCCACUGGCUUUAUCUAGGAGGAGGAGCAGAGCAGAAGAACCUGCUGUUCUUUCCUUCUCGGCCUCUGGUCGGUUACGACGGUGACGACCUCAAGUACCUCCUGGAGAUGGGUGCCUGCGGGACCGUGGUCGCGUGGGAUUUGGAGGACCGGGAGCAGCAGCAGGUGCAGGCCAACUGAGCUAGGUAGGGAGGGAUAGGCGGCGGGACAGACGGUCAAUCAUAGUACAUCGCCGCUGGAGACUAUACGAAAAUCUCGGCUCUUCCUCUGCGGGAAAACCGACGAACCAACCAUUAAGCUAAGGUAAACCGUGAGGUAUCCGAAACACCUAAGAGUUCCCCCUCUCCGUACCCGUCAGUGAGAGAAAAUGAGAACAAUAAUAGAGAACUUCGAAGUAAUAAACAUCACGUAAGUGUUUUUUUACAAGCAGAGCGUCUCUAAACAGUGUGUUAUGUAUGUAUGCCUUUAAGCAUACGUCACUGGAUG
rnacentral:rRNA from 1 species